UAGGCAUCUACUAGUUGGGAAAGGUGCUACGGCACACUGAGAGAGGAGCCCGCGGCGCAUUAGCUAGUUGGUGGGGUAACGGCCUACCAAGGCGACGAUGCGUAGCCGACCUGAGAGGGUGACCGGCCACACUGGGACUGAGACACGGCCCAGACUCCUACGGGAGGCAGCAGUAGGGAAUCUUCGGCAAUGGGCGAAAGCCUGACCGAGCAACGCCGCGUGAGCGAAGAAGGCCUUCGGGUUGUAAAGCUCAGUCACCCGGGAAGAGCGGGCAGGAGAGGGAAUGCUCCUGUCGAGACGGUACCGGGAGAGGAAGCCCCGGCUAACUACGUG
rnacentral:rRNA from 1 species